rnacentral:lncRNA from 1 species
GUGUGUGUACACACACAUGCACACACAUCUUCAGAUUUUUUAAAAACAUAUUUUCAGUCUAAGAGUUACUAUAAAUAACUAACCUGACGUUACUCAACUUGGAGAUUUUUUUUACACUGAUAUGCUUUUGGUUAGAUAAAAUUACUGUGACUAGCUGGAACCAUGUUAGGAUUACUAUAAUUUAUUUCCACAGUGAAAAAGAUGAUUGGUAAUACAAUUAUUUAAAUUUGCAUUUAGUGUUUUUCCUCUUAGAAAACGCUUUCAAAUUUCUUGAUGGAACUGGUAAUUUUUGGAUGGUUCUGCCGGUUUGGUGCGCCCUCCAGUGGAUGUAAGUUGAAUAUGCACUUGGUCAAGAUUUCAAUGGAUGGUUCGCGGCUUUAGCACUUCUGAGCGUGGUCCGGAGUCACCUGGAGGUUUCUGAUGCCGCUUACAGAGCCUGGGCAUCAAGAGUCAUUCUCAUAACA